rnacentral:rRNA from 1 species
AGAGUUUGAUCCUGGCUCAGGAUGAACGCUGGCGGCGUGCUUAACACAUGCAAGUCGAACGAUCCUUCGGGAUAGUGGCGGACGGGUGAGUAACGCGUGGGAAUCUGCCCUUAGGAGGGGGAUAACGGCUGGAAACGGCCGCUAAUACCCCAUAUGCCGAGAGGUGAAAUGAAUUUCGCCUGAGGAUGAGCCCGCGUCUGAUUAGCUAGUUGGUGGGGUAAAGGCCUACCAAGGCGACGAUCAGUAGCUGGUCUGAGAGGAUGAUCAGCCACACUGGGACUGAGACACGGCCCAGACUCCUACGGGAGGCAGCAGUGGGGAAUUUUCCGCAAUGGGCGAAAGCCUGACGGAGCAGCGCCGCGUGAGGGAUGAAGGCCUCUGGGCUGUAAACCUCUUUUCUCAAGGAAGAAGAACUGACGGUACUUGAGGAAUAAGCCACGGCUAAUUCCGUGCCAGCAGCCGCGGUAAUACGGGAGUGGCAAGCGUUAUCCGGAAUUAUUGGGCGUAAAGCGUCCGCAGGCGGCCUUGUAAGUCUGUUGUUAAAGCGUGGAGCUCAACUCCAUUUAAGCAAUGGAAACUACAAGGCUGGAGUGUGGUAGGGGCAGAGGGAAUUCCCGGUGUAGCGGUGAAAUGCGUAGAUAUCGGGAAGAACACCAGUGGCGAAGGCGCUCUGCUGGGCCAUAACUGACGCUCAUGGACGAAAGCCAGGGGAGCGAAAGGGAUUAGAUACCCCUGUAGUCCUGGCCGUAAACGAUGAACACUAGGUGUCGGGGGAAUCGACCCCCUCGGUGUCGUAGCCAACGCGUUAAGUGUUCCGCCUGGGGAGUACGCACGCAAGUGUGAAACUCAAAGGAAUUGACGGGGGCCCGCACAAGCGGUGGAGUAUGUGGUUUAAUUCGAUGCAACGCGAAGAACCUUACCAGGGUUUGACAUCCUGCGAAUCCCUUGGAAACGAGGGAGUGCCUUUGGGAGCGCAGUGACAGGUGGUGCAUGGCUGUCGUCAGCUCGUGUCGUGAGAUGUUGGGUUAAGUCCCGCAACGAGCGCAACCCACGUCUUUAGUUGCCAGCAUUCAGUUGGGCACUCUAGAGAGACCGCCGGUGAUAAACCGGAGGAAGGUGUGGAUGACGUCAAGUCAUCAUGCCCCUUACAUCCUGGGCUACACACGUACUACAAUGCUACGGACAAAGGGCAGCAAGCUCGCGAGAGUUAGCAAAUC